AGGCUUGGUGCAGCUCGGGAA
rnacentral:miRNA from 1 species